GGGUCCGUAGGUUGGUCGUGCCACCGGUACGUACUGGUCUCACUGAUUCCUCCUUCCUGAAGAACCGUAAUGCCAUUAAUUUGGUGUUGCGGGGAAACAGGACUGUUACUUUGAAAAAAUUAGAGUGUUUAAAGCAAGCUAACGCUUGAAUACAUUAGCAUGGAAUAAUGAAAUAGGACGAUCGAUCCUAUUUUGUUGGUUUCUAGGAUUGACUUA
rnacentral:rRNA from 1 species